rnacentral:rRNA from 1 species
GGGUUGUGAGGUUAAGCGACUAAGCGUACACGGUGGAUGCCCUGGCAGUCAGAGGCGAUGAAGGACGUGCUAAUCUGCGAUAAGCGUCGGUAAGGUGAUAUGAACCGUUAUAACCGGCGAUUUCCGAAUGGGGAAACCCAGUGUGAUUCGUCACACUAUCAUUAACUGAAUCCAUAGGUUAAUGAGGCGAACCGGGGGAACUGAAACAUCUAAGUACCCCGAGGAAAAGAAAUCAACCGAGAUUCCCCCAGUAGCGGCGAGCGAACGGGGAGCAGCCCAGAGCCUGAAUCAGUGUGUGUGUUAGUGGAAGCGUCUGGAAAGGCGCGCGAUACAGGGUGACAGCCCCGUACACAAAAAUGCACAUGCUGUGAGCUCGAUGAGUAGGGCGGGACACGUGGUAUCCUGUCUGAAUAUGGGGGACCAUCCUCCAAGGCUAAAUACUCCUGACUGACCGAUAGUGAACCAGUACCGUGAGGGAAAGGCGAAAAGAACCCCGGCGAGGGGAGUGAAAAAGAACCUGAAACCGUGUACGUACAAGCAGUGGGAGCACGCUUAGGCGUGUGACUGCGUACCUUUUGUAUAAUGGGUCAGCGACUUAUAUUCUGUAGCAAGGUUAACCGAAUAGGGGAGCCGAAGGGAAACCGAGUCUUAACUGGGCGUUAAGUUGCAGGGUAUAGACCCGAAACCCGGUGAUCUAGCCAUGGGCAGGUUGAAGGUUGGGUAACACUAACUGGAGGACCGAACCGACUAAUGUUGAAAAAUUAGCGGAUGACUUGUGGCUGGGGGUGAAAGGCCAAUCAAACCGGGAGAUAGCUGGUUCUCCCCGAAAGCUAUUUAGGUAGCGCCUCGUGAAUUCAUCUCCGGGGGUAGAGCACUGUUUCGGCAAGGGGGUCAUCCCGACUUACCAACCCGAUGCAAACUGCGAAUACCGGAGAAUGUUAUCACGGGAGACACACGGCGGGUGCUAACGUCCGUCGUGAAGAGGGAAACAACCCAGACCGCCAGCUAAGGUCCCAAAGUCAUGGUUAAGUGGGAAACGAUGUGGGAAGGCCCAGACAGCCAGGAUGUUGGCUUAGAAGCAGCCAUCAUUUAAAGAAAGCGUAAUAGCUCACUGGUCGAGUCGGCCUGCGCGGAAGAUGUAACGGGGCUAAACCAUGCACCGAAGCUGCGGCAGCGACGCUUAUGCGUUGUUGGGUAGGGGAGCGUUCUGUAAGCCUGUGAAGGUGUGCUGUGAGGCAUGCUGGAGGUAUCAGAAGUGCGAAUGCUGACAUAAGUAACGAUAAAGCGGGUGAAAAGCCCGCUCGCCGGAAGACCAAGGGUUCCUGUCCAACGUUAAUCGGGGCAGGGUGAGUCGACCCCUAAGGCGAGGCCGAAAGGCGUAGUCGAUGGGAAACAGGUUAAUAUUCCUGUACUUGGUGUUACUGCGAAGGGGGACGGAGAAGGCUAUGUUGGCCGGGCGACGGUUGUCCCGGUUUAAGCGUGUAGGCUGGUUUUCCAGGCAAAUCCGGAAAAUCAAGGCUGAGGCGUGAUGACGAGGCACUACGGUGCUGAAGCAACAAAUGCCCUGCUUCCAGGAAAAGCCUCUAAGCAUCAGGUAACAUCAAAUCGUACCCCAAACCGACACAGGUGGUCAGGUAGAGAAUACCAAGGCGCUUGAGAGAACUCGGGUGAAGGAACUAGGCAAAAUGGUGCCGUAACUUCGGGAGAAGGCACGCUGAUAUGUAGGUGAAGUCCCUCGCGGAUGGAGCUGAAAUCAGUCGAAGAUACCAGCUGGCUGCAACUGUUUAUUAAAAACACAGCACUGUGCAAACACGAAAGUGGACGUAUACGGUGUGACGCCUGCCCGGUGCCGGAAGGUUAAUUGAUGGGGUCAGCGCAAGCGAAGCUCUUGAUCGAAGCCCCGGUAAACGGCGGCCGUAACUAUAACGGUCCUAAGGUAGCGAAAUUCCUUGUCGGGUAAGUUCCGACCUGCACGAAUGGCGUAAUGAUGGCCAGGCUGUCUCCACCCGAGACUCAGUGAAAUUGAACUCGCUGUGAAGAUGCAGUGUACCCGCGGCAAGACGGAAAGACCCCGUGAACCUUUACUAUAGCUUGACACUGAACAUUGAGCCUUGAUGUGUAGGAUAGGUGGGAGGCUUAGAAGUGUGGACGCCAGUCUGCAUGGAGCCGACCUUGAAAUACCACCCUUUAAUGUUUGAUGUUCUAACGUUGACCCGUAAUCCGGGUUGCGGACAGUGUCUGGUGGGUAGUUUGACUGGGGCGGUCUCCUCCUAAAGAGUAACGGAGGAGCACGAAGGUUGGCUAAUCCUGGUCGGACAUCAGGAGGUUAGUGCAAUGGCAUAAGCCAGCUUGACUGCGAGCGUGACGGCGCGAGCAGGUGCGAAAGCAGGUCAUAGUGAUCCGGUGGUUCUGAAUGGAAGGGCCAUCGCUCAACGGAUAAAAGGUACUCCGGGGAUAACAGGCUGAUACCGCCCAAGAGUUCAUAUCGACGGCGGUGUUUGGCACCUCGAUGUCGGCUCAUCACAUCCUGGGGCUGAAGUAGGUCCCAAGGGUAUGGCUGUUCGCCAUUUAAAGUGGUACGCGAGCUGGGUUUAGAACGUCGUGAGACAGUUCGGUCCCUAUCUGCCGUGGGCGCUGGAGAACUGAGGGGGGCUGCUCCUAGUACGAGAGGACCGGAGUGGACGCAUCACUGGUGUUCGGGUUGUCAUGCCAAUGGCACUGCCCGGUAGCUAAAUGCGGAAGAGAUAAGUGCUGAAAGCAUCUAAGCACGAAACUUGCCCCGAGAUGAGUUCUCCCUGACUCCUUGAGAGUCCUGAAGGAACGUUGAAGACGACGACGUUGAUAGGCCGGGUGUGUAAGCGCAGCGAUGCGUUGAGCUAACCGGUACUAAUGAACCGUGAGGCUUAACCUUACAACGCCGAAGCUGUU